rnacentral:lncRNA from 1 species
AGAGUUUCGAGCGCCGCUUCCUAGCGGCGCGCACACUGCGCUCCUUCCCCUGGCAGGUGGGCGGCGGGGCGAGCGGAGAGGCCUGCGGGGCUUGCGGAAGUCCAGGGGCAGACGGGAUGGGUCUCCCUGCUGAAACCCCCGGCGCUCCUGCCACCCCUCGGAAGGCUCGGUCACACUCUCCGAGCACAGCCAUCAUCUCCCACGGUACCACAGGCCUGGUCACAUGGGACGCUGCCCGCUACCUUGCAGAAUGGGCCAUCAAGAACCUGGCAGCCUUCACUAACAGACGUGCUGUAUUGCCCAGAAGCCAUCGUGUCCCUGGUCGGGGUCCUGCGGAGGCUGGCUGCCUGCUGGGAGCACCAGCGGGCUCCUGAGGUCUACAUGGCCUUUACCGUCCGCAACCCAGAGACGUGCCAGGUGUUCACCACCGAGCUAG